UCAACCAUCAAGCCCUGCUUGGUAUUGGGAGCCGUCCCUGCUGCGGACGCCCCCUAAAGUGAUUGGCGGUGGUGUUAAACCUCAAGCGUAGUAAAUCUCCAGCUUUCUAGGUGAGACGCCGGCCGCCUCGAGAACCUCAUCAUCUCAA
rnacentral:misc_RNA from 1 species